rnacentral:rRNA from 1 species
CUCUUAAUGGGGUGACUGCGUACCUUUUGUAUAAUGGGUCAGCGACUUAUAUUCUGUAGCAAGGUUAACCGAAUAGGGGAGCCGAAGGGAAACCGAGUCUUAACUGGGCGUUAAGUUGCAGGGUAUAGACCCGAAACCCGGUGAUCUAGCCAUGGGCAGGUUGAAGGUUGGGUAACACUAACUGGAGGACCGAACCGACUAAUGUUGAAAAAUUAGCGGAUGACUUGUGGCUGGGGGUGAAAGGCCAAUCAAACCGGGAGAUAGCUGGUUCUCCCCGAAAGCUAUUUAGGUAGCGCCUCGUGAAUUCAUCUCCGGGGGUAGAGCACUGUUUCGGCAAGGGGGUCAUCCCGACUUACCAACCCGAUGCAAACUGCGAAUACCGGAGAAUGUUAUCACGGGAGACACACGGCGGGUGCUAACGUCCGUCGUGAAGAGGGAAACAACCCAGACCGCCAGCUAAGGUCCCAAAGUCAUGGUUAAGUGGGAAACGAUGUGGGAAGGCCCAGACAGCCAGGAUGUUGGCUUAGAAGCAGCCAUCAUUUAAAGAAAGCGUAAUAGCUCACUGGUCGAGUCGGCCUGCGCGGAAGAUGUAACGGGGCUAAACCAUGCACCGAAGCUGCGGCAGCGACACUAUGUGUUGUUGG